UGUGAAUUUUGAGUAGGCGCGGCUAGCUUAUGUUAGCUGAGGAAAGUCCACGCACACACAGACUGCGAUGUUUGUAGUGAUCGUAUUCAGCCUAACAAGCUGGAGGAGGACGUUAGUCUUCACGGCGGAAAAAGUGCUAAAUCUUCGGACAUGCAUUACUAUCCUGAAAAGUGCCACAGUGACGAAGCAAGGUCAGAAAUGACUUUGGUGGAACGAGGUAAACCCUGCGAGUGUGAAACCCAAAUUUGGUGGGGGAGUUUCGGCCUAAGGAAAUGAACUAAAGGUCGGAUUAUUGCUUUAAGCAGUAAAGAUAGAUGACUACUGAAGGUAAUCUUUGCCAGAGAUUAUUGGAACAAAACGUGGCUUAUAGAAAUUCACACAGG
rnacentral:RNase_P_RNA from 2 species